AUUAGUGGGAAAUCAACCAUAUCUGAAAACUGCUGAUAUCUACUAAUGAUUUACUUGAUUAACCCCUAAAGGUUAUUUUAGCAAAUGAAAAAAACAACAUUGGUUUUGGCACAGAAUUGCGAAUUUUCCUCCACAUUUACUUCAUAUGCAGAUUUGGUGGUGCAUCUCUGUGGAUCUCUUUUUUAUUAUCUGCCUUGUGUCUUUUAAAUGACAUUUAAAUGACAGAUUUUUAGGGUCGUCUCAAGUAAACUUCUUAUAAACAUUUCAAACUAAACUUAAAAUCCAUCUGACAUUGCUUAUAUUUUUUUCAAAUAGUUGAAGAGCUUUUUGCUCAAAAGCUCUUAAUUUUAAUAGGUGCCUUCUCAUAAAAAUAUACCCUGCAAUGUGAUUUUUUUUUUAUGUGCAGUGACCUUUAAGAAUCGUUUGACUCUUUUCAAAGAGUCGUUUGACACAGUCAGUUCAGAUCAUCGGUUCUUCUUAGACAUAUUGGAUGAUGACAUACUUCUUGGGGCAAUGCUAGCAAAUGUCUGAAAACCUUUUUCCAUUUCUCACUAAGUUUACCUUUAAUGAGCUUAUUCAGCUAUUACAUUUAAUCCCCUGUUUCUGUGCAAUAUCAGUCACACCUGCAGGUUAAUGAGCAGUUUGAAUGUUGUUGCUUGGGUUUGUUUAUUUUCCUCCUCUCUGUGGUUGUGCCUGUUUAAAAAUUAAAUGACUACUUGAAAUGGCACUUUCUAUUUAAUUGGGUUUGUUGAGUUUAUUAGUAAGGGCCUUCCAUAUAGCUUCCCCAGGUAGCUGCUGGAAAAAAAAUAAAAAAACCCCAGUGCACCCCCUGUUGGGAGCCGCUGGCAUUAAAGACCUGUUGUGCUGCUUUAAAGAUUUGUUUAUGCACCGUUUAGACAAAAAUAAACACUAGCUAUUAAGAUGAUUACAGGUGUCUGCAUUUUAAUGAGGAUUUAUAAUAGCAAAUAAACUCAAUGUAACAGACUAUUAGGAUUAGGUCUGUCCUAUUAAUUAUUUACCUAUAAACUAGCAAACAGAAGUGGAGAGUCCUGCAAGGAGAAACUCUUCUGUUUGAUCCAGCUGUCUCAUGCAGACGCUCCCAGGGAGGUUCACCAGCACCACUGCAGCAUUAAUGAGCAGCAAUAAUGACUAAAGGCACUUAGUUAGAGUUAAAUGGAGCUUGAACACCCAGCUGACAAUGAGCUAUCUACCACAGAGAGGGUUAUCAGGCUGAGUUCAGAACCAGAGCUCUAAAGCUUGAGCUAAUACUGUACACAAUACUAUGGCCUUGCUAUAGUGUUCGAACCUCUUGAGUGUUUUAAUAAGUUUCGCUGAGACCAAAAUUGAACUUUCUAGCCUAAAUGAUUUUUGUUGUUAAAAGGCAGCAUCAUCCUGUGGGGUCCUGGAAUCCUGGAAGAAAACUCACCAUAGGCUGCAAAAGAGGUUUUCGCUCCUUGAAAUUACCAGCCAUGCCAAGAGGAUCUGAACUGUUUUAUAGGCUGAAGAUAUUGGCACUGUGAAAGCAUCCUGGUGAGGCAAGCAGCUGUGCUGGCCAUAUUGUGUAUCGAUCCAACUUGCGCUGCGAUAGCUGCACUUAAUCAGAUUUAUAUUGUAAACAAAGACUCGUAGUAUGAGAUGUGAAUUAGCAGGUAAAUGUUAUCCAUCAAAGGAAAUAAUAUUUUGUGCAGCGUGAUGCAGUAUUGGUAUUUCAGAGAUUUAUCUGGCCUGAAAGCAGAGGCAGAGUCUUUUCUCCUCUGGGCUUACUGCAGGCUGCUUGCGUCGCCUCUGCAGGCUCUGCUCACCAGAACCUUUAACUAAAUGGACACAUGCAUGGAUUCAGACAGCAGGGCACAGUCGGAGCUGCAAAUGCGCUUUUACUCGGGUUAUUUUUGCCCUAAAAUUUAAUUAGUUUAUCUGACGGGUUUAAUUGUGACAAAAAUGGAAGAAAUCAGUAAGAGGGAGAACAGUUUUUCAAAGAGAAGUGGAAAAAGAGCCCCAAUCUUUAAAAUCUACCCUGAUAUUCACACUCUGCAGGUCUCUUUUAAGAACAUGGAUGCAGAUAAUGAAGGAACCCCACGAUGAUCUGUCCUUAUCAGAUUAGAAGAUGAAACGGCAUAACGGUGAACAUUGUCAGAUAAUCCUCAAAACGUAUUGUGCAGAUAAUUAGAGUUCAGUCUCAUUUAUUAAAAAUAUCCCUACAGCACCAAGCAGCCAGUUGAGAAAUAGAGACCAUAUCUAAGGAGUAACUUCCACGACUGCAAAGUUUAUAUUGUCUUCUACAGAAUAUUUCAAUCAGAUAAAUGAUUCAGGUAACAUAAUGUUAUGAUGCUGUUGUGUUUCUAAUCUUUACAACUUCCACACAUCAGUUUCCUGCAGCCCUCUUGGUUUUUUUCUUCUUCUAUUGACUCAUUUUAUGUUUUCAUAUCAAAUAUAAAAAAGAUAUCUAAUGAAUCUACAAAUUGUCUAAAGAUUACUUUGUUUUUAUCCUGUGUCCUAGAUAAAAAUUGUAGUCAAAAUUCACUGCGUUAGUGUUUUGCAUCAUUUUACUGCAGAAAUAAGAACUGAAUUUCUUGAUACGUUUAAAGAAGUCAAAUAAAAACAGCUCAAUUCCACCCAGAUAUUUUUUCCCUGCAUGGAUUCAUUGAUAAUGUUUACUGUUUUGUAUGGAAAGUACUUCUGGUCCAGGGCUCAACUGUUUAUCAGUUUCUCUCCUGUGAUAUUGCUGCAGUAAGAUGUAUAUUUUAUUUUCCAUUAAAGGUACUCCAAGCCCAGAACAUCCGGUUUGUCUGAGGAGGAGUGAAUGUCAGAUUGAACUCUGGCCCACCUAAAAACCAUCUGGUUGAAGUGAACUUUGACUCUUCUGACUGGAGACGGCUCCAAAAUUGGGAGGUGGACUAUAGCGUAGGGCAUUCUGGGUAAAUGCAACCAAAACAACUGCAUGAGUCUAACCUUAGCUGUACAAUUGGGUUGGGGUGUUUUACCACAGACAAAAGAGAAAGUGCUAAAAUUUGAUGCCGCUCCAUCGUUGUUUACAUUUCAUGAAGGAGGAAGUUGCAUUCGGUGUCUCCUUCAGAGGUUUUUAUGCACUGUGGCUUUUUAUGACUGUAAAAUAUCACAAAAAAGGCAUGGACAUUAAUUAUUAGAAAAUGCUGACAUGUUCAGCUGUCUUCUGAGAUCUGGGGGGGGAGAAAAAAAAAAAAAAGAUGAGCUGCCCAGGUCUUCAUUCUGAAAAAUAAUCUGUAAAAAAUACCUGAAAACCUGCAAAAUAAAUGAAACACACAUUCAGACCUCCCACCACCGA